CGUAACUGCUCGGCUACGGAUGAGCCUGCGUCCUAUCAGGUAGUUGGUGGGGUAAUAGCCUACCAAGCCAAUGACGGGUAGCUGGCCUCAUGAGGGUGUCAGCCAGAGGGGGACUGAGACACGGCCCCCACUCCUACGGGAGGCAGCAAUCAGGAAUAGUCGGCAAUGGGCGAAAGCCUGACCGCGCAAUACCGCGUGUAGGAAGACGCUCGAAAGAGUGUAAACUACUGUGGCGAGGGAAGAAGCCUGGCUUAGCCAGGUUGACGGUACCUCGCUAGAAAGGGGCCGCUAACUUCGUGCCAGAAGCGUCGGUAAUACGAGGGCCUCAAGCGUUAUCCGGUGUUAUUGGGCGUAAAGAGUCGUGUAGGCGGUUUCGUAAGUUAUCUUUUAAAGAUUCCGGCUCAACCGGAAAAAAGGAGGUAAUACUGCGAGACUCGAGUUUUCUCAAGGGAGAAUGGAACUAAAGGAGGAGUAGUGAAAUGCGUUGAUACCUUUAGGAACACCAGUGGCGAAGGCGAUUCUCUGGGAGGAGACUGACGCUGAGACACGAAAGCUAGGGGAGCGAAGCAGAUUAGAGACCUGCGUAGUCCUAGCCGUAAACG
rnacentral:rRNA from 1 species